AACGAACGCUGGCGGCAGGCCUAACACAUGCAAGUCGAACGCACCGCAAGGUGAGUGGCGCACGGGUGAGUAACACGUGGGAAUGUACCCUUUGGUUCGGGAUAACGUCUGGAAACGGACGCUAAUACCGGAUGAGCCCUGCGGGGGAAAGAUUUAUCGCCAAAGGAGCAGCCCGCGUCUGAUUAGCUAGUUGGUGGGGUAAAGGCCUACCAAGGCGACGAUCAGUAGCUGGUCUGAGAGGAUGAUCAGCCACACUGGGACUGAGACACGGCCCAGACUCCUACGGGAGGCAGCAGUGGGGAAUAUUGGACAAUGGGCGAAAGCCUGAUCCAGCCAUGCCGCGUGAGUGAUGAAGGCCUUCGGGUUGUAAAGCUCCUUCGCACGCGACGAUGAUGACGGUAGCGUGAGAAGAAGCCCCGGCUAACUUCGUGCCAGCCGCCGCAGUAA
rnacentral:rRNA from 1 species